rnacentral:rRNA from 1 species
UACGAAGGUCCCAAGCGUUAUCCGGAUUUAUUGGGUUUAAAGGGUGCGUAGGCGGUUCUAUAAGUCAGUGGUGAAAUCCGGCAGCUCAACUGUCGAUGUGCCAUUGAUACUGCAGAACUUGAGUACAGACGAGGUAGGCGGAAUUGACGGUGUAGCGGUGAAAUGCUUAGAUAUCGUCAAGAACACCGAUAGCGAAGGCAGCUUACUAGACUGUAACUGACGCUGAUGCACGAAAGCUGGGGGAGCAAACCGG